GAGGGUUUGAUCCUGGCUCAGAUUGAACGCUGGCGGCAGGCCUAACACAUGCAAGUCGAGCGGAUGAAGGGAGCUUGCUCCUGGAUUCAGCGGCGGACGGGUGAGUAAUGCCUAGGAAUCUGCCUGGUAGUGGGGGAUAACGUCCGGAAACGGGCGCUAAUACCGCAUACGUCCUGAGGGAGAAAGUGGGGGAUCUUCGGACCUCACGCUAUCAGAUGAGCCUAGGUCGGAUUAGCUAGUUGGUGGGGUAAAGGCCUACCAAGGCGACGAUCCGUAACUGGUCUGAGAGGAUGAUCAGUCACACUGGAACUGAGACACGGUCCAGACUCCUACGGGAGGCAGCAGUGGGGAAUAUUGGACAAUGGGCGAAAGCCUGAUCCAGCCAUGCCGCGUGUGUGAAGAAGGUCUUCGGAUUGUAAAGCACUUUAAGUUGGGAGGAAGGGCAGUAAGUUAAUACCUUGCUGUUUUGACGUUACCAACAGAAUAAGCACCGGCUAACUUCGUGCCAGCAGCCGCGGUAAUACGAAGGGUGCAAGCGUUAAUCGGAAUUACUGGGCGUAAAGCGCGCGUAGGUGGUUCAGCAAGUUGGAUGUGAAAUCCCCGGGCUCAACCUGGGAACUGCAUCCAAAACUACUGAGCUAGAGUACGGUAGAGGGUGGUGGAAUUUCCUGUGUAGCGGUGAAAUGCGUAGAUAUAGGAAGGAACACCAGUGGCGAAGGCGACCACCUGGACUGAUACUGACACUGAGGUGCGAAAGCGUGGGGAGCAAACAGGAUUAGAUACCCUGGUAGUCCACGCCGUAAACGAUGUCGACUAGCCGUUGGGAUCCUUGAGAUCUUAGUGGCGCAGCUAACGCGAUAAGUCGACCGCCUGGGGAGUACGGCCGCAAGGUUAAAACUCAAAGGAAUUGACGGC
rnacentral:rRNA from 1 species